rnacentral:rRNA from 1 species
UGAGUGUAACUUGGUUGGAAUGCCAGGCCGCAGAGGGUGCAAGCCCCGUGCCGCUCACGCUGCAGACAAGGGAGAGUUCGAAGAGUCGGGUAGUUCGGGACUGCUGCCCUAAGUGGGAGAUAGACUUCUUCCAAGGCUAAAUAACGACGAGAGACCGAUAGCGAACAAGUACUGUGAAGGAAAGAUGCAAAGCACUUUGAAAAGAGAGUUAAAUAGCACGUGAAAUUGUUGAAAGGGAAGCGCUUGCGACCAGACUC